ACUGUAUUUGUAACCCAGUGAUAAGACUGGAUAAACCUGUAAGGACAGAAGAAAGACAAGAAAUAGGACCUGAGCCCUAGGACCAUGCCUCAGGUCUACCCGGCCUGAUGACUACUUGCGGUCCCCAGUCCACCUGGCCCUGCUGCUGCUCCAGUUUAAACUGUUCUGCCUGCGGCUAUGGAACCAUGACCUGUUCACCGGACGUGCUACUUGUCCCAGACCUGAUGUUUUCAACUCUCAAGAGACAGCAGGAGCGGUAGAGAUACUCUGAAUGAUCGGCUAUGAAAAGCCAGCUGACAUUUACUCCUGAGGUGCUGACCUGUUGCACCAUUGACAACCACUGUGAUUAUUAUUAUUUGACCCUGCUGGUCAUCUAUGAACAUUUGAGCAUAUUGGCCAUGUUCUGUAAUAAUCUCCACCCGGCACAGCCAGAAGAGGACUGGCCACCCCUCAUAGCCUGGUUCCUCUCUAGGUUUCUUCCUAGGUUCUGGCCUUCCUGAGGAGUUUCUCCUAGCCACUGUGCUUCUACACCUGCAUUGCUUGCUGUUUGGGGUUUUAGGCUGGGUUUCUGUACAGCACUUUGAGAUAUCAGCUGAUGUAAGAAGG
ensembl:lncRNA